CCUACGUGUGGCUGCAGUGAGGAAUAUUGGUCAAUGGGCGGGAGCCUGAACCAGCCAAGUCGCGUGAGGGAAGACGGUCCUACGGAUUGUAAACCUCUUUUGCCGGGGAGCAACGGGGUCCUUGCGAGGGCCCAAUGAGAGUACCCGGAGAAACAGCAUCGUCUAACUCCGUGCCAGCAGCCGCGGUAAUACGGAGGAUGCGAGCGUUAUCCGGAUUUAUUGGGUUGAAGGGGUGCGUAGGCGGGCUGUUAAGGCAGCGGUCAAAUGUCGGGGCUCCAACCCGGACUGCCGUUGAAACUGGCGGCCUCGAGUGGGCGAGAAGUAUGCGGAAUGCGUGGUGUAGCGGUGAAAUGCAUAGAUAUCACGCAGAACUCCGAUUGCGAAGGCAGCAUACCGGCGCCCUACUGACGCUGAGGCACGAAAGCGUGGGUAUCGAACAGGAUUAGAUACCCGGGUAGUC
rnacentral:rRNA from 1 species